UCUGGCUGCUGGCCUCGGUCGGCUGCCUCUGCCAGGACGUGCCGGCAGACGGCACCCAUUCUGGUGAGUGUGAGUCCACGUUCUGCCUUACUAGCAAGCCAAAGUCAGCUAAUCAAGACCCCUUAUUCCGGGGGUCCUACCGCGCACAGCCGCAUGGGCCAUGUCACCCUGAAUUCGCGUCCAUCCGAUCGCGCAAAUCUGGUCGUCUGUAAGUAGGCAAGUAGGUGCGUGGACUUUUGCAAAAAAACCUUUUAGUUCUCCGCUAAUCGACUUUGGGUACAGGGAGGAACCUUGUUCGAUUUUUUUCGGAACGCCCUCAGGUUCCAAAGAAAAAAAUUCCGAUUUCACGUCCUUUUUAAAAAACCGCCCGGCGGCCAUUUUGCGAACAACCCCCCGCCGCUCAGUGCCCC
rnacentral:lncRNA from 1 species